UCAGACACGCUAUGACCAAUUCUAAUUUUCCCAAAAUCUAAUCUCGAUCCCUUUCUCUUCGUCUUCUCCGUCUGCUAUUUUAGAUCGAAACCGACGGGAUUUAAUAAGAACAAAAUCGUUGGGUGAGAAAACCAUUAUUGGGGGUAAAUUUUAUUCUUCGAGCAGUUUUCCUUCACUCAACCUCCCAAAUUAAAAAAAAAAAAAAUUAUUGGCAACGCACAGGGACAAGAAGAGGUCAACAAAUCUGCCUCAAAGAUUUGAGAAAAAGGUCCAUAUAAUGAGACAGCGACGAUAUACCGCUGACUAGAACGCCCCUUCUUCUAGAGGUGAAGGGAUGCUGCAGCCACGGGCAUGGAAUUUGCGUUUUGUAAACUCGCCACCACCGAUGAUAUUUACGUUUUCCAGGAUCGAGGCAGAGGACGGUUCUCCAAUAGCAAUCGAGCUCCUCGAUGCCGCCACAAACGCCCGAGUCACCUCUGACUUGCGGCUCGAGAUCGUAGCGCUGAACGCUGAUAUCGCCGAGGAAAGCUUCACCACCGAGGAGUUUAACAGGAAUAUUCUCCGACCACGGGAAGGGAAACCACCAUUGCUCGCCGGAGACCUGACCGUGACGCUUGAAGACGGGGUCGGAGUAGUCAGCGGCGACGUCACUUUCACAGAAAAUUCGAGCUGGACGAGAUGCAGGUUAGGUGCUAAAGUUAGACAACAAGGAGGAGUUGUGGAGGCCAUAACUAGAGCGUUCGUGUGCAGAGAUCGUCCAGGAGGAGAGUCUUAUUCUGAUUCUAAGGUACAUGACAUGACCAAAUACGGAGUUAAAGAAUCAUCUUCACCGGGCGGCGGCAAUCAAUAACGGAAGCAGAUAGGACCCUCUACUUAUGCAACAUGGAUGUAGCUCGGUGACUUAGAAUAUAUAUAAUGUAGACGUCUAGGUCAAUUUUUGGCAUAUUAAUGUUGCAUAUUUACGGCACCGGGCGCCGGCAAUCAACAACAAAAUCAUCUUCCACACCAGCUUGACCGUUAAGUGAUGAUGAUUAGGAAAAAUCCCGUUUUUGGCGUCUGGCGUUUGGAGGAAACGCAACUAUAUACGUUUUUCUUAAUAUGAAUUUUAUUCAAGAUUUGUGAUUAAAAUCUUGAGAUAGAAAACUCAAAUUCUCUUUCUUAAUAAUUACAAUUGUGGUGACCCGUGUGAAUCCACUUACGGUUUUUUUUUCUGGAUUUCUAUUGGUUGUAUGGAACUAAUGAAUCGUACACGUAUCUCUACUAUCAUGAUUUUUUUUUGAUUUUUUUUUUGUUUUGGUGAAGUUUGAUGCUUUGGUUGCAGCCCUUCCGUUAUCAGACUGAGGUGAAGAAACUCAGUUGAAAAGAAUUGCUGAACUCCUGGUGAAAAAUGAUGUUAUUGGCCAAGAGUUCUCUAACGAUUUACAUCUAUUCUGAUCCAACUGCUGCGGAACGUUUGUACCGAAGAAAGAUGUCAUGUAGAAAAAGUCAUCAGCUGGGCAAGCACAAGGUUUAACAACCACUCAGUUGAGACAGUAGGAUCUCUUUCGUGUUGAUCAUACAAGCUUGCGAUAUAGAGCUAGAAGACAAAGCCAGAGAAGUAGCAGAGCUGAAAACAGAGAGGUAGAGCUAGAGAGAAUUACGAGGCUGAAGCAUGUAGAGGCAGACAUAUCCCCAGCUAAAAGUUAACGAUGCAAAGCGGAGGCUGAUUGGUCGAUUAUUAAGGACAUGGACAAUAUUCAAACGCUGGAUACAAAAUUGUUUUCAGUAUUUUAUUUGCUAACGCCACCGUAUGUGCAGGUUGCAGAGUUUAAAUGCCUACUCGGUGUUAAAGCUAAUACCAAAGAAUGAAUACUAUGACAAAACUCUCCAGCUUCCAAAAGAAUUUGAUGCUACAACCGCUUGGUGACAGUGCACCAGUGUUGGAAGGAUCCUAGGUCUCAUUCAUCUUCUGUCUAUUUGGAAAUUAAACUUACUGAAGAAGUUGCAAGGGAUAAGCAAAGUUGCUUCUUCUUCAGGAAACAAGUUAGGUUGCAAGAAACACUGACACCAAAAAAGUCGCUUAUUCUAGCUCUUCAGGAAGCUGAGAGAAAUGGAAAUAGCAUAUAUAUUAUCUGCCUUAUCCGUGUGGAGGAUUCAGAGGACGAGGACCAUACUUCUCAGGUGGCUAAGCGUUGAUGCUUUUUGAUCAGGUGGCUAAGCAUUGAUGCUCACUGCAGGUUUCAACUGAAUCACUUUGGUUUACUCCAAAAGAGAGGUAUUAGCUUAUAACUACUAUACACUGUGCUCUUUGGUGUCUGAAGGAAAGAAAUCUGCUCUCAGGUUCAUCGCAAUGGAACUCUAUAAUUCUGAGAGGUCCUCUAUAGUUCCAUCGUCAGGCUUCCCAAGUUUAAUCUUUCUCCAAGGUAUAAGUAUUUUCACUAUUAUAUUUUGAAAUUCCACUCUCUUUUUAUCUAUGUAGUAGGCUAUUGAAAACCCAAUGUGAUAAGAAUCUCUCAUUCUGAGAAUUCAAAAAGUUUCCAUAUGGCGGAAGGGAUGUAACACUUCUGAAGUCAUUUGAGUUCCAAGACCUAUAAUCAUGUGGUCAGUUUUUACCGUUUCAAGUUUCAACAGUGGUCACUCCACUUUGGGUCAGCUUGCAUUCAGUUACAUGCCAGUUAAGUUCAAGUUUCUUCGUGCAAGAGCGUGCACCCGAACAUCACCUCUCAAUUUAGCUAUAGAGAUUCUAAAAUGGAGUGAGUAGAGAACAAACAUAUGCGUGAUGUAUACUCUAUGUCCAGUACUUAUCAAGUUCUUCUCAAAUCAGUGUAUUCACAUUAAAAACAAGUCUAAUGUAAAUAGUCACCACUAUCUGGAGUAGAGAUUCUUACACAUUGAUCUUAAUUGUUUGAGAUUCA